CUUUGAUUGCUGGGUUGCAUGCGACUAAAACACUCAGGGGUCACUCCAGGGAAACUGGGCUAACUGUGCUUCGCGAAAUAACCACACAAGAGACAGAAAUACCUUUUUCUUUGGGGAUGCUGUGAUGGCUCCUCUAACCUCAAGAGUCCACAGAAAAGAGAGAGAGAGAGCACUUGCUGACCUCUUUUAUUGAGGAGAAGCCAUUCAAAUGAGGCAAGGGGUCAGGUUUCAGGGGGCUGAGUCUAGCUUUAUGAUGUCUGCUGUCAGCAGGUUGACUGACAUCUAGGUAAGCCACACCCAAGGGCACAGUAAGAGAAGGGAACACACAAAAGGUGUUUCCAUGGAACAUUCUAUCCCAAACAGGGCUAGGGGUAAUAUUAUAAAGGAACAGGUGAGCAUAGCUCCACCCAUGGGGAUACAGGAAG
rnacentral:lncRNA from 1 species